UGGGGAAUUUUGGACAAUGGGCGAAAGCCUGAUCCAGCAAUGCCGCGUGUGUGAAGAAGGCCUUCGGGUUGUAAAGCACUUUUGUCCGGAAAGAAAUCCUUGGCUCUAAUACAGUCGGGGGAUGACGGUACCGGAAGAAUAAGCACCGGCUAACUACGUGCCAGCAGCCGCGGUAAUACGUAGGGUGCAAGCGUUAAUCGGAAUUACUGGGCGUAAAGCGUGCGCAGGCGGUUUGCUAAGACCGAUGUGAAAUCCCCGGGCUAACCUGGGAACUGCAUUGGUGACUGGCAGGCUAGAGUAUGGCAGAGGGGGGUAGAAUUCCACGUGUAGCAGUGAAAUGCGUAGAGAUGUGGAGGAAUACCGAUGGCGAAGGCAGCCCCCUGGGCCAAUACUGACGCUCAUGCACGAAAGCGUGGGGAGCAAACAGGAUUAGAUACCCUGGUAGUCCACGCCCUAAACGAUGUCAACUAGUUGUUGGGGAUUCAUUUCCUUAGUAACGUAGCUAACGCGUGAAGUUGACCGCCUGGGGAGUACGGUCGCAAGAUUAAAACUUAAAGGAAUUGAC
rnacentral:rRNA from 1 species